UACAGAGGGUGCGAGCGUUAAUCGGAAUUACUGGGCGUAAAGCGUGCGUAGACGGUCAUGUAAGUCGGAUGUGAAAGCCCCGGGCUCAACCUGGGAAUUGCAUUCGAGACUGCAUGGCUUGGGUGCGGAAGAGGGAAGCGGAAUUUCCGGUGUAGCGGUGAAAUGCGUAGAUAUCGGAAGGAACACCAGUGGCGAAAGCGGCUUCCUGGUCCGACACCGACGUUCAGGCACGAAAGCGUGGGAAGCAAACAGG
rnacentral:rRNA from 1 species